AUUACCGCGGCUGCUGGCACAGAGUUAGCCGGGGCUUCCUCUCCAGGUACCGUCAAGUCACGCAUCUCUUAAACUCGUGACCUUCGUCCCUGACGACAGGGUUUUACGAUCCGAAGACCUUCAUCACCCACGCGGCGUUGCUGCGUCAGGCUUUCGCCCAUUGCGCAAAAUUCCCUACUGCUGCCUCCCGUAGG
rnacentral:rRNA from 1 species